rnacentral:rRNA from 1 species
UACGUAGGGGGCAAGCGUUAUCCGGAUUUACUGGGUGUAAAGGGAGCGUAGGUGGCAUGGUAAGCCAGAAGUGAAAACCCAGGGCUCAACUCUGUGGAUUGCUUUUGGAACUAUCAAGCUAGAGUGCUGGAGGGGUAAGCGGAAUUCCUAGUGUAGCGGUGAAAUGCGUAGAUAUUAGGAGGAACACCAGUGGCGAAGGCGGCCUGCUGGGCUUUUACUGACGCUGAGGCUCGAAAGUGUGGGGAGCAAACAGG